CUUGAACGCUGGCGGCAGGCCUAACACAUGCAAGUCGAACGAGUGGCGGACGGGUGAGUAAUGUCUGGGAAACUGCCUGAUGGAGGGGGAUAACUACUGGAAACGGUAGCUAAUACCGCAUACCAUCGGAUGUGCCCAGAUGGGCUUGGCUAGUAGGUGGGGUAACGGCUCACCUAGGCGACGAUCCCUAGCUGGUCUGAGAGGCUGACAAGCCAAAAUGGAACUGAGACACGGGCCAGACUCCUACGAGAGGCAGCAGUGGGGAAUAUUGAACAAUGGGCGCAAGCCUGAUGCAGCCAUGCCGCGUGUAUGAAGAAGGCAUUCGGGUUGUAAAGUACGGUCAGCGGGGAGGCGUUACCCGCAGAAGAAGCACCGGCUAACUCCGUGCCAGCCGCCGCGGUAAUUC
rnacentral:rRNA from 1 species